rnacentral:rRNA from 1 species
AUUGAACGCUGGCGGCAGGCCUAACACAUGCAAGUCGAGCGGAGCGGCGAACGGGUGAGUAACGCGUGAGUAACUGCCCCCCUCUCUGGGAUAACAGUUGGAAACGGCUGCUAAUACCGGAUAGUGGGGGAUGACUCGCGUCCGAUCAGCUUGUUGGUGGGGUAGUGGCCUACCACGGCGACGACGGGUAGCCGGCAUGAGAGGGCGACCGGCCACAUUGUGCUGAGAGACUGCCCAAACUCGUACGGGGGGCAGCAGUGGGGAAUAUUGCACAAUGGGGGAAACCCUAAUGCAGCAACGCCGCGUGCGGGAUGCCGGCCUUCGGGUUUUAAACCGCUUUCAGCCAUGACGCGGUAGUGGCAGAAGAAGCACCGGCUAACUACGUGCCAGCAGCCGCGGUAAUUC